GAUGAACGCUGGCGGCGUGCCUAACACAUGCAAGUCGAGCGAUUUACUUCGGUAAAGAGCGGCGGACGGGUGAGUAACGCGUGGGUAACCUGCCCUGUACACACGGAUAACAUACCGAAAGGUAUGCUAAUACGAGAUAAUAUGCUUUUAUCGCAUGGUAGAAGUAUCAAAGCUUUUGCGGUACAGGAUGGACCCGCGGCUGAUUAGCUAGUUGGUAAGGUAACGGCUUACCAAGGCGACGAUCAGUAGCCGACCUGAGAGGGUGAUCGGCCACAUUGGAACAGAGACACGGUCCAAACUCCUACGGGAGGCAGCAGUGGGGAAUAUUGCAGAAUGGGGGAGAGCCUGAUGCAGCAACGCCGCGUGAGCGAUGAAGGCCUUCGGGUCGUAAAGCUCUGUCCUCAAGGAAGAUAAUGACGGUACUUGAGGAGGAAGCCCCGGCUAACUACGUGCCAGCAGCCGCCGUAAGAC
rnacentral:rRNA from 1 species